GAUGAACGCUAGCUACAGGCUUAACACAUGCAAGUCGAGGGGCAGCAUGAACUUAGCUUGCUAAGUUUGAUGGCGACCGGCGCACGGGUGAGUAACACGUAUGCAACCUGGCCGUCACAGGUGGAUAACCGGAAGAAAUUCCGACUAAUACAGCAUAACACUCCUGAGGGACAUCCUUCGGGAGUCAAAGGAGGCGACUCCGGUGACGGAUGGGCAUGCGGCGCAUUAGGUAGUUGGUAGGGUAACGGCCUACCAAGCCGACGAUGCGUAGGGGUUCUGAGAGGAAGGUCCCCCACAUUGGAACUGAGACACGGUCCAA
rnacentral:rRNA from 1 species